CUGCAAUGUGGUAAGAUAGAAAACAGGACAAAAUGAUUAAUGAACAAGAACCAGAAAGCAGGAAUAGAGCAGACGAGAUAGGGAUCCGGUGGAGAGAAGCUAGGAAGCCUUCUUGAGACAGAAGGUGAGAGAGACCACAGUACCACUGUGGAUGCCUCCCCUUUGCAUGGCCUUCUGCCCCAUUUGAAUUUGAGCAGCUUCCAAACUAAUCUAGGAGCCGAGCAAAACUCAAGUCCAGCUGAAAGCAAACAGUAUGAUCACAGCAACCAUUAAGAUACCAAGAAAUGCCCAAAGGAAGGCCAUCAGCCAGCACCGCGGGCUACUCGCAUCAUUUAUUCAGUAUUCAUCUCCAUAUGUGCAUUGACAGACUUUAAAGUACUCAGAAACUCUGCUCCAAUACACUGAUUGAUCAAAUGUUCUGCGGACAGACCUGGGAACAAUACCAGUCAGCAGAGAGAAAAGCUUCCUCUCCUACUCAUCACCCACUCAGAAAUCAUGUGACAGAGCCAAUGGCCAGGUACAGCUUCUUCAUGAGAAUGACAUGUCUGUAUCUGGCUCUGAGUUCAGACAGGAGGGUCUUGGCUCCUCUCUGUGUGCCCUCUCGACUCUGCUCCUCAGCACGUUGGCUCAGAUGAAGGGAGAAAAAUAGUUCAUCUGUUGUUUGGAUCAGUUAACCCAGGAACCAUUCAUGAUUCAUCCUGUGUAAGGUGACGCCACAGCUCACCAGGAGGCGAUGCUGCCUUGUGGGUCCUAGACAUCCCCAGCACAGUCCCCUGUGAAGAGUCAGUACCCCUCCAUACAAGCUAUGGAAAAGCCUGAGCUGUUGGUCUAGCUCUCUUAUUGAAAUAAAAUAAAAUUAAAUAAAAAAAAAA